GAUGAACGCUGGCGGCGUGCCUAAUACAUGCAAGUCGAGCGAAGCGGGGACGGGUGAGUAACACGUGGAUAACCUCUUAUAAGACUGGGAUAACUUCGGGAAACCGGAGCUAAACCGGAUACUUAUAGAUGGAUCCGCGCUGCAUUAGCUAGUUGGUAAGGUAACGGCUUACCAAGGCAACGAUGCAUAGCCGACCUGAGAGGGUGACUGACAACGAGUGGCCUAGGACACGGUCCCGACUCCUCAGGGAGGCAGCAGUAGGACUUCUGCCGCAAUGGGCGAAAGCCUGACGGGACAACUCCGCGUGAGUGAUAAAGAUCUUCGGCUCGUGAAACACUAUUAUUAGGGAAGCGGUACCUAAUCAGAAAGCCACGGCUAACUACGUGCCAGCCGCCGCGGUAAUAC
rnacentral:rRNA from 1 species